GUCCCACGAGAACCAAAUCCGGCUGGAUAUACUUAAUCUUCCGUAUCCCAGAUGUGUGCCUUGUGAUUGUUACAGUAGCCAGGAACAUGGAGCGAUUGGACCAUCAGUACCUGAUGUUUUUGCCGAAUAACCAAUCGGCUUCGUUUCAACAUUUGUUCCGGAUUAAUGAAAGAAAACGGAAACAGCGUUUAGUUUGCUCACCGCCUCUGUUGUAUGCAAAGGUUUAAAUGAAAAUGUUCGGAGUACCUGCAGCGUCAAAAACACAGCUGAAAGAAUAGCGGAUGCUUGGCAAUAUCGAAACGGGAAAGGGACGUUAGUCAACUAAAGCAACGUGCGAGUGUCUGCUCAGAAAGUGUUAUGUAUCGGCAAAAUAAGGAGUUGAGGUAUGGCCAGUGAAACCAACAGUGGCUGAAUCCAGUGGGCUUCUGGAGCAAAACUGGACAAGGAAUAUUAUGUUCGAAAUCAAACAGUUCAUAGAUAUAUAAUAAAGAAUUGCUAAAA